rnacentral:pre_miRNA from 8 species
GGUACUUGAAGAUAGGUUAUCCGUGUUGCCUUCGCUUUAUUUGUGACGAAUCAUACACGGUUGACCUAUUUUUCAGUACC